rnacentral:rRNA from 1 species
CGUGUAGGCGGUUAGGUAAGUGGAACGUGAAAUCCCUCGGCUCACCCGAGGACCUGCGUCCCAAACUGCCUAGCUUGAGUAUGGGAGAGGAUGAGGGAAUUCCUGGUGUAGCGGUGAAAUGCGUAGAUAUCAGGAGGAACACCGGUGGCGAAGGCGCUCAUCUGGCCCAAUACUGACGCUGAGGCGCGAAAGCUAGGGGAGUAAACG